AAUAGAUACCCAGGUAGUCCACGCUGUAAACGUUGGGCGCUAGGUGUGGGGGGGCCUCUCCGGUUCCCUGUGCCGCAGCUAACGCAUUAAGCGCCCCGCCUGGGGAGUACGGCCGCAAGGCUAAAACUCAAAGGAAUUGACGGGGGGCCCGCACAAGCGGCGGAGCAUGCGGAUUAAUUCGAUGCAACGCGAAGAACCUUACCUGGGUUUGACAUGGCCGCAAAACCGGCAGAGAUGUCGGGUCCUUCGGGGGCGGUCACAGGUGGUGCAUGGCUGUCGUCAGCUCGUGUCGUGAGAUGUUGGGUUAAGUCCCGCAACGAGCGCAACCCUCGUUCGAUGUUGCCAGCGCGUUAUGGCGGGGACUCAUCGAAGACUGCCGGGGUCAACUCGGAGGAAGGUGGGGAUGACGUCAAGUCACCAUGCCCCUUAUGUCCAGGGCUUCACGCAUGCUACAAUGGCCGGUACAAUGGGCUGCGAUACCGUGAGGUGGAGCGAAUCCCAAAAAGCCGGUCUCAGUUCGGAUCGGGGUCUGCAACUCGGACCCCG
rnacentral:rRNA from 1 species